UACGGGGGGAGCAAGCGUUGUUCGGAUUUACUGGGCGUAAAGGGCGCGUAGGCGGUCAGCACAAGUCAGUUGUGAAAUCUCCGGGCUUAACCCGGAAAGGUCAACUGAUACUGUGCGACUAGAGUGCGGAAGGGGCAACUGGAAUUCUCGGUGUAGCGGUGAAAUGCGUAGAUAUCGAGAGGAACACCUGUGGCGAAAGCGGCGCACUGGACCACAACUGACGCUGAGGCGCGAAAGCGUGGGGAGCGAACGGG
rnacentral:rRNA from 1 species